GACGAACGCUGGCGGCGUGCUUAAUACAUGCAAGUCGAGCGGACAGGCCCUGCUCUUGUGGGGUGCACGUGUGGCGCACAGGUGAGUAACACGUGAGUAUACUGCACUUAUCAUUGGGAUAACUUCUGGGAAAUGCGGAUCUUACCCGGUAUGAGCUCCUGCUCCACGUUGGUCGUUGGUAAGAUCCGGCGGUUGGGGAUGGUCUCGCUGCUUCUGCGCUUGUUGGUCUGGUAGUGACUUACCAAGGCUUUGAAGGCUAGCCGGCCUGAGAGGCGGGCCGGCCACAAUGGGACUGAGAGAGGGCCCAGAAGCCUACGGGAGGCAGUAGGGGGGAAUAUUGCGCAAUGGGCGGAAGCCUGAUGCAGCAACGCCGCGUGCGGGAUACCGGCCUACGAGUGAUAAACCGAUUUCGCCUGUGACGAACCGUGAGUGACGGUAAUGGGUAAAAAAGCACCGGCUAACUACGUG
rnacentral:rRNA from 1 species